UACGUAGGGUGCAAGCGUUAAUCGGAAUUACUGGGCGUAAAGCGUGCGCAGGCGGUUAUGCAAGACAGAGGGGAAAUCCCCGGGCUCAACCUGGGAACUGCCUUUGUGACUGCAUAGCUGGAGUACGGUAGAGGGGGAUGGAAUUCCGCGUGUAGCAGUGAAAUGCGUAGAUAUGCGGAGGAACACCGAUGGCGAAGGCAAUCCCCUGGACCUGUACUGACGCUCAUGCACGAAAGCGUGGGGAGCAAACAGG
rnacentral:rRNA from 1 species